rnacentral:rRNA from 1 species
AUGAAUAAUUCAGACAAGAAGUCGGUAUGCUCCAUUCCUAGAAGAUCAUCAGAACGGAGGAAACAGUCCUCUUCUGAGUUGGUUUCUUCAGCUAAAAGGCCAACUCGCCACAAUACCUCCAGCAGUUAUAAGCCAGAUCAUUGUUCUCCUCCCAAGAGAACAGUAAGAACAGUCAGGAAUGUUAAUCUGGCAAAAUAUAUAAAGAACAAGUAUUAUCGAAGUCCUCUGAGCAAGCGGCAGUCUUCAAAUGCUGCUACUGGAAAAAGUGCAACAGGACCAGUCAGGAGGAGGAACCGGAAACGGAGAAGGCACAAUACUGAUUGUGAUGAGGCAACUCGCAUGGAAAGAAGGGCGAGAUAUUUGCUGGUCAAAAUAAAAUCGGAGCAGAAUUUAAUAGAUGCAUACUCUGGAGAUGGCUGGAAUGGGCACAGCCGAGAGAAAUUAAAGCCAGAGAAGGAGCUACAGCGUGCUAAGAGACAGAUCAUUAAAUGCAAAAUUGCUAUCCGUGAUAUUAUCCAUCAACUUGAUUUGUAUAGUUCUAGUGGGAGCAUGGAAGAUUCCGUGAUGCCUCCAGAUGAGUCUGUUAAGUCUGUUAACCCUGAUAAUACUAUAUGUUCAAGAUGCAAGUCUCCUGAAUCAGUUCCCAACAAUAAAUUUAUCUUCUGUGAAGGGGCCUGCAAAAUGGCGUACCAUGAGAAAUGUUCAGAACCUCCUCUAGACAGAAGUCUUCCUACUGGUGGUCCUGGAUGGCUUUGUAAAUUCUGCUUGUGCAAGAUGAAAAUUUUAGAAGCUGUAAAUGCACAUUUGGGAACUAGCCUUACAGUGAUGUGUCCCUCUAAAGAUAUUUUUAAGGAAGCAACUAAAGAGGUGGACUCUGAGGAUGGACUAGGAGAGGAUUGGUUAUCUGAGUAUUCAGGUGAUGAGGACUAUGACCCUGAAGAAAAUGACUUCACAAGCAGCAGCCUGGAUAGUGGUGAAGAAAGUAUAUCUGAUCAGUCCAAUUGUUCAGGAAGUCCGCUUUAUUCUCCAAACGAUGAUAUUCCAGGCUUUAUAUCAGCAGAUUUCACUGAUGCGGAAGGAUUCUACCACACCAAUUCAAAUUUAGGAAUUGAUUCUGGGGAUGAUGAUGUUGCCGAGAUGCUUACCUACCAAAGGCCAAAGAGAGAGGUUGAUUAUAAAAGACUUAAUGAGGAAAUGUUUGGAAAGCUGACUGAGAAUGAAAAGCAGAGUGAAGAUGAAGAUUGGGGUACUAAUAAUAGGAGAAAGAAAAGAAGAGUGCAUUCAGCUGGUGUUGGAGUUAAGUCUGCCGAGGGUUUGUCAGAUGUAAAAUCAAAUGAGAAAGCCCAACCGCAGAGGAGAAAACUCUUUAGAAUUNNNNNNNNNNNNNNNNAGGUACUACGCAAAUCUUUUGCUGAAAGUGAGCUUCCAGCCCGGGAGGUGAAAGAGAGUCUCUCAACAGAAUUGGGUAUUUCUUUUGAAAAGAUUGACAAGUGGUUCAAAAAUACAAGGUGUGCUGCUCUCAGAGAUCGGAAGGCUGAAGGAAAUAGUCGUGUUGCUGGUCCCAGCAAAAGAUCGAGACGGAGUGCAGGGAAAUCUGGAAGUUCAGUCAAGAUUGAUUCAGUGGACAAUUCAUAUCUUAUUCCCGCGUCUGAAAUCAUCAGUGUACCUACACAUCCACAAGGGAUUCCUGAGAGGAAGCCCGAAUCAACUAGUAGAACUGUGAGGAGGCUGGUACAUGAUAAAGGAGCUCCCUUGUGUCCGCCCGCCGAAGUCAAGGAGAGUACAUCACCUACAACCAAGCCUGGCUUGAAUCCUAGCCAUGUAGCAGAUCGCAUCAUCAACACCGAGCAUAGAGCUGCUUCUCGGGAGGCUCCAGUGGCCUUCUCGGAUGACCCUUUCUUCGAUGCAAUCCUAUCAUAUCCCACCAUCAACACCAAUGACAGAGCUGUUUCUCGGGAGGAUCCGGUGGCCUUCUCGGACGAUCCUUUCCUGGAUGUGAUGCUAGCAAACCGCGACAUCUAUACUGAGGAGAGAGGUGUUUCUCAUGAGGACGUGAAGCGGCCUUCUGGUGACCAGCCUUUCCUGGAUGUGAUCCAGAACGUGUGCGGGCUCGAGCAUAGGCUGCAGAGACUGAAGGGGGACAUGCUAUCAUCAGGAGCAGCACCAGGCGGCACUGGAACCGCGGAGCGUGACUUGCAGAACCAACUGGUGGUUCUCGUACCAACUGCCGAGCUGAAGGACAAAUCACAGCCUAGCAUCUGA